AUGGUAGGAUAGAGGCCUACCAUGGUGGUAACGGGUAACGGGGUGUUAGGGCACGACACCGGAGAGGGAGCCUGAGAAACGGCUACCACAUCCNAGGAUGGCAGCAGGCGCGCAAAUUACCCAAUCCCGACACGGGGAGGUAGUGACAAUAAAUAACAAUACGGGGUUCUUUAGGAUCUCGUAAUUGGAAUGAGUACAAUUUAAAUCUCUUAACGAGGAACAAUUGGAGGGCAAGUCUGGUGCCAGCAGCCGCGGUAAUUCCAGCUCCAAUAGCGUAUAUNAAAGUUGUUGCAGUUAAAAAGCUCGUAGUUGAAUUUCGGGGUCAGUAGGUCGGUCGUGCCACUGGUAUGAACUGGUUUUACUGAUUCCUCCCUCUUGAAGAACUGUAAUGCCAUUAAUUUGGUGUUGCAGGGAAUCAGGACUGUUACUUUGAAAAAAUUAGAGUGUUUAAAGCAGGCUUUAGCUUGAAUACAUUAGCAUGGAAUAAUGAAAUAGGACGUUUGAUCCUAUUUUGUUGGUUUCUAGGAUUGACGUAAUGAUUAAUAGGGAUAGUUGGGGGCAUUAGUAUUCAAUUGUCAGAGGUGAAAUUCUUGGAUUUAUUGAAGACUAACUACUGCGAAAGCAUUUGCCAAGGAUGUUUUCAUUAAUCAAGAACGAAAGUUAGGGGAUCGAAGACGAUCAGAUACCGUCGUAGUCUUAACCAUAAACUAUGCCGACUAGGGAUCGGAUGAUGUUAAUUUUUUAAUGACUCAUUCGGCGCCUUACGGGAAACCAAAGUGUUUGGG
rnacentral:rRNA from 1 species